rnacentral:rRNA from 1 species
GACGAACGCUGGCGGCGUGCCUAACACAUGCAAGUCGAACGGAAAGGCCCUGCUUUUGUGGGGUGCUCGAGUGGCGAACGGGUGAGUAACACGUGAGUAACCUGCCCUUGACUUUGGGAUAACUUCAGGAAACUGGGGCUAAUACCGGAUAGGAGCCCCUGCUGCAUGGUGGGGGUUGGAAAGUUUCGGCGGUUGGGGAUGGACUCGCGGCUUAUCAGCUUGUUGGUGGGGUAGUGGCUUACCAAGGCUUUGACGGGUAGCCGGCCUGAGAGGGUGACCGGCCACAUUGGGACUGAGAUACGGCCCAGACUCCAACGGGAGGCAGCGGUGGGGAGUAUUGCACAAUGGGCGGAAGCCUGAUGCAGCGACGCCGCGUGCGGGAUGACGGCCUUCGGGUUGUAAACCGCUUUCGCCUGUGACGAAGCGUGAGUGACGGUAAUGGGUAAAGAAGCACCGGCUAACUACGUG